GACGAACGUUGGCGGCGUGCUUAACACAUGCAAGUCGAACGGAAAGGCCCUGCUUUUGUGGGGUGCUCGAGUGGCGAACGGGUGAGUAACACGUGAGUAACCUGCCCUUGACUUUGGGAUAACUUCAGGAAACUGGGGCUAAUACCGGAUAGGAGCUCCUGCUGCAUGGUGGGCGUUGGAUAGUUUCGGCGGUCGGGGAUGGACCCGCGGCUUAUCAGCUUGUUGGUGGGGUAGUGGCUUACCAAGGCUUUGACGGGUAGCCGGCCUGAGAGGGUGACCGGCCACAUUGGGACUGAGAUGCGGCCCCGACUCCUACGGGAGGCAGCAGUGGGGAAUAUUGCACAAUGGGCGGAGGCCUGAUGCAGCAACGCCGCGUGCGGGAUGACGGCCUUCGGGUUGUAACCCGCUUUCGCCUGUGACGAAGCGUGAGUGACGGUAAUGGGUAAAGAAGCACCGGCUAACUACGUG
rnacentral:rRNA from 1 species